GAUGAACGCUGGCGGCGUGCCUAAUACAUGCAAGUCGAGCGAACAGAUGAGGAGCUUGCUCCUCUGACGUUAGCGGCGGACGGGUGAGUAACACGUGGAUAUCCUACCUAUAAGACUGGGAUAACUUCGGGAAACCGGAGCUAAUACCGGAUAAUAUAUUGAACCGCAUGGUUCAAUAGUGAAAGACGGUUUUGCUGUCACUUAUAGAUGGAUCCGCGCCGCAUUAGCUAGUUGGUAAGGUAACGGCUUACCAAGGCAACGAUGCGUAGCCGACCUGAGAGGGUGAUCGGCCACACUGGAACUGAGACACGGUCCAGACUCCUACGGGAGGCGGCAGUAGGGAAUCUUCCGCAAUGGGCGAAAGCCUGACGGAGCAACGCCGCGUGAGUGAUGAAGGUCUUCGGAUCGUAAAACUCUGUUAUUAGGGAAGAACAAAUGUGUAAGUAACUAUGCACGUCUUGACGGUACCUAAUCAGAAAGCCACGGCUAACUACGUG
rnacentral:rRNA from 1 species